UACGUAGGCAGCGAGCGUUGUUCGGAGUUACUGGGCGUAAAGAGUGCGUAGGCGGUUUUCUAAGUUUGGUGUGAAAUCUCCCGGCUCAACUGGGAGGGUGGCAUUGAUACUGCAGGGCUUGAGUAAAGUUGAGGUUGGCGGAAUUGACGGUGUAGCGGUGAAAUGCUUAGAUAUCGUCAAGAACACCGAUAGUGAAGACAGCUAACUAAGCUUUAACUGACGCUGAGGCACGAAAGUGUGGGGAUCAAACAGG
rnacentral:rRNA from 1 species